rnacentral:rRNA from 1 species
ACGGAGGGUGCAAGCGUUAUCCGGAAUCAUUGGGUUUAAAGGGUCCGCAGGCGGGUUUAUAAGUCAGUGGUGAAAGCCUACAGCUCAACUGUAGAACUGCCAUUGAAACUGUAGAUCUUGAAUUCGGUCGAAGUGGGCGGAAUAUGACAUGUAGCGGUGAAAUGCUUAGAUAUGUCAUAGAACACCGAUAGCGAAGGCAGCUCACUAGGCCUGGAUUGACGCUCAGGGACGAAAGCGUGGGGAGCAAACAGGAUUAGAUACCCUGGUAGUCCACGCCGUAAACUAUGAUUACUCGUUUUCAGCCCCUUGGGGUUGGAGACUAAGCGAAAGUGAUAAGUAAUCCACCUGGGGAGUACGAUCGCAAGGUUG